GUUGAAACACCUGUCCCCCCCCCGUACGAUCACCGAAGUUAAGCAACUUCAAGCCUGGUCACUAGCUUUAUGGGUGACCGCUUGGGAAUACCAGGUGCUGUAAG